rnacentral:ncRNA from 1 species
AUAAAAACAAUGAAGCAGAAAAAGAUUUUUUAUUUUAUUGCAGAGAGUCGGCGGCAGGUGCAAGCCGAUAUAAAAUAACAAAUGCAUAACUCACUGCGGAGUUGCCGCGCUGAACAGAAAUUUAUAGGUGCGGUCGGCUGACCUCGUUAUCGGUUAAGGCAUUGAUAGAUGCUAAAGGGCAGUGUUAACCUACUGCCGAAAUAGGGUGGUACCGCGUGUUAUUACGCCCCUAUA